rnacentral:lncRNA from 1 species
UUGUUGUACAAACACCAUGAAUACAAAAUCAGCAACAUGUAACGCAAAUUAUCAUCGCUUCUCUCUAAUGAAUUGUACAACUUGAUCCCUACUCUCAACAUAGAAGAAAAAGAGUAAAGAAACUAAAGAACAACCAAGUGACAAAAUCAAGUAGCUAGGUCUCUGUGGGUGUAGCUAAUCGCUUUAUCACCAUUUACUACUUGUCCGCUUCC